rnacentral:rRNA from 1 species
GACGAACGCUGGCGGCGUGCUUAACACAUGCAAGUCACGGGGGCUGGUGCAAACCAGUAACCGGCGAAUGGGUGCGUAACACGUGAGCGACCUGCCUUAUUGAGGGGGAUAGCCGGCCCAACGGCCGGGUAAUACCGCAUACGCUUGGAAGGGGGCAUCCCUUUUCAAGGAAACCUCCGGGGCGAUAAGAGGGGCUCGCGGCCUAUCAGCUAGUUGGUGAGGUAACGGCUCACCAAGGCGAUGACGGGUAGCUGGUCUGAGAGGAUGGCCAGCCACAUUGGGACUGAGAGACGGCCCAGACUCCUACGGGAGGCAGCAGUGGGGAAUCUUGCGCAAUGGCCGGAAGGCUGACGCAGCGACGCCGCGUGGAGGAUGACGCCUCGGUGGU